rnacentral:rRNA from 1 species
UUANAUUAUUAAGAUGGCUAUUAAAAACAUUAGUUCUAAAUCCAAAUAAUUUGGCGGUAUUUUAAUAAAUCAGGGGAACUUGCAAAUUAAAUCGAUAAUCCACGAAAUCCUAACCUUUUAUAGAAACUCAGUUAGUGUACUGCCGUAUUUAUAUAAAUUUAUAAUUAUAUGUGAGCAAAAUAUAAAAAUAUUUUAUACAACAGGUCAAAGUGCAGCUUAUAUAAAAGGAUUCUGUGUGUUACAAUAUAAAAAAAUACAUGUUAUAAAUUAAAUUAUAUAUUUAUUAAAUUGGACUUGAUAGUAACUAUAAAAUAUGGUGAAAUAAAUCUUAAAAUGUGU